AAUUUUUAGUCCUUCAGACUUGUCCCGCUCUCUUUGUAGAGCGUUGUGACGGUUCUUAGGACUUUCCUGGUGGAAAGCGUCUCUGCCCUUUACUGGGUUGGUUUCGUGAUCUGCCUCAUUUACUGUGAGAAAAACAAGGUGCUCAAAGCAGGCAUUAUUUGCUUGAAUGCGUUAGCAUGGAAUAAUAAGAUAGGACUUUGCUUCUAUUUUGUUGGCUCUGAGAAACAAAGUAAUGAUUGAUAGGGAUAGUUGGGGGUGCUCGUAUUUAACGGUCAGCGGUGAAAUGCAUGGACCCGUUAAAGACGAACUUAUGCGAAAGCAUU
rnacentral:rRNA from 1 species